AACCCUUGUCUUUAAUUGCCAUCAUUCAGUUGGGCACUUUAAAGAGACUGCCGGUGUCAAACCGGAGGAAGGUGGGGGAUGACGUCAAGUCCUCAUGGCCUUUAUGACCAGGGCUACACACGUACUACAAUGGCCGGUACAAAGGGCAGCGACACAGCGAUGUGAAGCCAAUCCCGAAAAGCCGGUCUCAGUCCGGAUUGGAGUCUGCAACUCGACUCCAUGAAGUUGGAAUCGCUAGUAAUCGCGGAUCAGCACGCCGCGGUCGAAUACGUUCCCGGGCCUU
rnacentral:rRNA from 1 species